rnacentral:lncRNA from 1 species
AGCUUCCCCUCAGGCACACCAAUUCUAGGAAAAACACCACAAGCAUUUUUUCCACUAGAAGUUGUCAUCUUCUAAAAACAUUGCACUUCAGAGAAACUCCGAAGAAUUGCGCUAGCCGCUGUACAGAAGUCAUCAACGAAUACUCUUACAUGGUAUAGUUCUCACCCCAAACUCCCAGCUACGAGGGUUCAAACUACGCUAGCAGCAUCCGUCAUGGAACAAAAAUGCAAUGCGCCACAAUGUGUAGAAGGAAAAUCCACGUUUUACAACCAAAUCAAUCCCUUAACACCACGAAGCAAAUGUUCACUUCUUUCACAAACUCAAGCUACAACCGGAGGA